rnacentral:siRNA from 1 species
UCGGCGCAAGUGAAAUACCACUA